CCUGAGCGAGCCUGGGAGCCGAUUCUUCCCUCAGAACCUCCUGAACAGAACAUAGCCUUGCUGACGUCUUUAUUCCGGGCUUGUGAUGCUCUAAGCAAAGUAUCCAGUCAAGUCUGCUGGACGUCUGACCUACAAACAGCACCUGGAGUCAGUCCUAGCAGCAGCCCCGCUCUGACCAUACCCGCUGAAGGCGUGCCAAGACAAUUCAAUGAGGAAAGAAGAGUCUUUUCAACAAAUGGUGCUGGGACAUCUGGAUAUCCACAAAUUAGCCCUGAGCUAACUACUGCCAAUCCUCCUCCUCUUUCUCUGAGGAAGACUGGCCUUGAGCUAACAUCCAUGUCCAUCUUCCUCUACUUUAUACAUGGG
rnacentral:lncRNA from 1 species